AGUGACGGUACCGUAAGAAUAAGCCACGGCUAACUACGUGCCAGCAGCCGCGGUAAUACGUAGGUGGCAAGCGUUAUCCGGAUUUUACUGGGUGUAAAGGGCGAGUAGGCGGGAUUGCAAGUCAGAUGUGAAAACUAUGGGCUCAACCGAUAGAGUGCAUUUGAAACUGCAGUUCUUGAGUGAUGGAGAGGCAGGCGGAAUUCCCGGUGUAGCGGUGGAAUGCGUAGAUAUCGGGAGGAACACCAGUGGCGAAGGCGGCCUGCUGGACAUUAACUGACGCUGAGGCGCGAAAGCGUGGGGAGCAAACAGGAUUAGAUACCCUGGUAGUCCACGCUGUAAACGAUGAUUACUAGGUGUGGGGGGUACUGACCCCUUCCGUGCCGGAGUUAACACAAUAAGUAAUCCACCUGGGGAGUACGGCCGCAAGGUUG
rnacentral:rRNA from 1 species